rnacentral:rRNA from 1 species
GAGUUUGAUCCUGGCUCAGGGAUGAACGCUAGCGAUAGGCUUAACACAUGCCAAGUUCGAGGGGCAGCACAUGAGUGGUAACACGAUGGUGGCGACCGGCGCACGGGUGAGUAACACGUAUGCAACCUGCCCAUAACUGGGGGAUAACCCGUCGAAAGGCGGACUAAUACCGCAUAACAACGCUGAUCCGCAUGGUGACGCGUUUAAAGAUUUAUCGGUUAUGGAUGGGCAUGCGUUCCAUUAGAUUGUUGGUAGGGUAACGGCCUACCAAGUCUGCGAUGGAUAGGGGUUCUGAGAGGAAGGUCCCCCACACUGGUACUGAGACACGGACCAGACUCCUACGGGAGGCAGCAGUGAGGAAUAUUGGUCAAUGGGCGAGAGCCUGAACCAGCCAAAUCGCGUGAAGGAUGAAGGUAUUAUGUAUUGUAAACUUCUUUUGUCAGGGAAUAAAGUGCGGCACGUGUGCCGUUUUGUAUGUACCUGAAGAAUAAGGAUCGGCUAACUCCGUGCCAGCAGCCGCGGUAAUACGGAGGAUCCAAGCGUUAUCCGGAUUUAUUGGGUUUAAAGGGUGCGUAGGCGGACCUUUAAGUCAGCGGUGAAAGUUCCCGGCUCAACCGGGGAAUUGCCGUUGAAACUAUUGGUCUUGAGUGUAGAUGAGGUGGGCGGAAUUCGUAGUGUAGCGGUGAAAUGCUUAGAUAUUACGAAGAACUCCAAUUGCGUAGGCAGCUCACUAGGCUACAACUGACGCUGAGGCACGAAGGUGCGGGGAUCAAACAGGAUUAGAUACCCUGGUAGUCCGCACAGUAAACGAUGAAUACUAACUGUUUGCGAUACACAGCAAGUGGUACAGUGAAAACGUUAAGUAUUCCACCUGGGGAAGUACGCCGGCAACGGUGAAACUCAAAGGAAUUGACGGGGGGCCCGCACAAGCGGAGGAACAUGUGG